GAGAGAGAGAGAGAGAGAGAGAGAGAGAGAGAGAGAGAGAGAGAGAGAGACUGUUCUUUGCUAUGGUCUUAGGUAAGUGAGAUAGCUGCCCCAAGUAGGUGGCCUCAUAAUUAGUUGGCUCUUCACCCUCUAUAGGUUUCACCUAAGAAAACCUGAGGCUGUAGGACAACUGAGCAGCAGUUCCUCUCCACAGAAACACUUGCGUUGUGCACCAGACGUGGUUUUAAAUGGUGGAGAUAAUUGCUUAAUUCAAGCUGGAGCAACUGGCCAAGUAAACAUGUAGCAGCCAGGAAGCUAUUAGCAUGAUUUUAAGGCAAUUAUUCCAUUAGUGUGUAAUAGUCUCCAAUUAGUCUGCUCUAUCAAAAUUUGAAUGUCUUCUUUUUCUCCAGAAAUUCCGUGUUAUAUGAUGCAGAAAGGUACCAGACUCAUUUUAAUCCCAGUUUUAUAGUUAAGAAUUUUGCAAAACCUAUUUUUGUACAACUAUAUGGGUAUUGGGGAAAUAUAUAUUUGGUGGCAUGGGAUGUGUGUGUGUGUGUGUGUGUGUGUGUGUGUGUGUGUGUGUGUGUGUUUCACAGAAAUGUUGGUGUGAAAGUGCAAGGCUUUGUGGGCCAUUUACUUUAAAUCUUAUACUAAAAGGGCUUAGGAAUACAACAGAAAGACAGUUAUCUUCCAAAUUUCAUCAUCUUUAUGUCUCUACCAGAGACAGCAGAAAAUUGAAGUCUCUGACUUCAAAGUUCCAGUUAGUCCCAUGAAAUAGAAAAGGAAAAUCACCCUGUUUCUACAGAUGCCUUACUUCUCACCUCAGUGAAAACUUGUUGCUUCUCAGUUAUGCUCACAUACAUUGCAAAGUCCUUACCCCUGCAUCGCUAAGAAAUAGUCCAUAACAUUUCUUUUAGGGAUCAGAUCACUAAACAGGUUUUAGGUCAUUUGCCCGCACUGAGUUUCUGGGUCUUGUUUUGUUUGGUUCUGAGGGGGAGGUUGCUUGUUUUUAGUCUAUGAAGUGGGGAUUGUAAUUCCAGCACUGCCUACUUUGCAGAGUUUUUGGAAAAAUGUGAGGUAGCAGACAUACAUUGGCUUUGAAAAUUGAAGCGUUACAGACAUUUAUGGUGAGUCUCAAAUGUGGCAUCACACCAUUCCUCAGAGGUGGUGCUACCUCAGGCAUUUAACCUCCUUCCAUCUCUAGAGACUCUCUUCCCAGAGACUUAGCAUCUCGGUCCUUGCCCUUAUUACCAGCUCAGUGCCGGAAGCAGGUGGAACCACGUGAAAUAACUGUCUAAGAAAACAAAUAAAAAGCAAGAGAAGAUGAGGAUGCCGGUGGAAGUGAAAGUAGAAUUUCACUGACAAAGUAGUUUGCUUUCUACUCCUUCAAAAGAGCAAUCCCCUGUCUCAACCAGGAGAAUGGAACUGAUGCAGAGGGAAGCUGGGUUGUGCUUUCCCAAAGAGACACCUAGGCCCCUGAGAAGUCCUUUGGAGAGGAAGGACAAAGGGAGAGACAACCUUUUUCUGAGGACAGAGCUCUGCUCAGCCUGUGUCUGUCAUUGCCACCAAACAUCCACUCCAAUUGAGUUACGUUGCUGACUAGAGAGAUGUGUCUCUCCAGAGAGAAAUCACUCACGUGGCUCCAAAGAACUGUCUGGGUCCACCUGCUCCCAAGUGAGAAAGAGAGGGGAGAUGAAGCCUUACGGAUGUGAUGAAUCUGGCAUUAGCCUGAAUAGGACUACGUGAGUCGGGCUGAACAUGUGUGGGGCCUUUGCCACUCAAACUACGGAUGGGCCAAAAGGGGCUUGCUUUCCGGUGGAGGGGUGCGUAAAUUCUUUCCCCAGAGGAAAUGCUAUAUUAAGUUGAAGAAACAAAAAUCAAGGAAACUUCAGUGUUUGCUCUUAAGGCCUUCAACUGAUUGGAUGAAGUCAAUACAUAUGACAGCAGUCUCUUCUGGCACCCCUACUUCCAAAGCAGACAUCUAUGUCUAGAGCUGCCUGGCAGACAUAGUCUGUGUUUUGGGACACUUACUCACACCUUAGAGAAAUACUAUGAGAAGAAGAGUCUGAUGAUGAGAUUUCAGUUUAGCCCUAGUCCCAGAACUACAUAUCAGCCCAUGGAAGAUGGUGUCAGAAAUUUGGAUGUGAUGUGAAGACAUAAGCAGCCGGCUCUUCAGGGAACUCUGGGCAAUGUUGGCAAAGGCUGAAUUAGAGACUUGGACAUUUUGUGCUUCUUCAAUUUUCUAACUACUGCUCUUCCAUUACUUAUGAUCACAGCUUUCUUUUUAAGUUCCAUUUUUGUUUUAGAUUUUUUUUUUGAGACAGCAUCUUAUGUAGUUCAGACUGGCCCCAACUUUGCUUGGUGACUGAGGCUGGACUUGAACUCCUGAUCCUACUCCUUCCCCCUCCCAAGCGCUGAUCCUUAGGUAUGAUCCACCAUAUG